AGUGAACGCUGGCGGUAGGCCUAACACAUGCAAGUCGAACGGCAGCACAGGAGAGCUUGCUCUCUGGGUGGCGAGUGGCGGACGGGUGAGGAAUACAUCGGAAUCUACUCUGUCGUGGGGGAUAACGUAGGGAAACUUACGCUAAUACCGCAUACGACCUACGGGUGAAAGCAGGGGAUCUUCGGACCUUGCGCGAUUGAAUGAGCCGAUGUCGGAUUCGCUAGUUGGCGGGGUAAAGGCCCACCAAGGCGACGAUCCGUAGCUGGUCUGAGAGGAUGAUCAGCCACACUGGAACUGAGACACGGUCCAGACUCCUACGGGAGGCAGCAGUGGGGAAUUUUGGACAAUGGGCGCAAGCCUGAUCCAGCCAUACCGCGUGGGUGAAGAAGGCCUUCGGGUUGUAAAGCCCUUUUGUUGGGAAAGAAAUCCAGCUGGCUAAUACCCGGUUGGGAUGACGGUACCCAAAGAAUAAGCACCGGCUAACUUCGUGCCAGCAGCCGCCGUAA
rnacentral:rRNA from 1 species